ACUUACAAGUCGAGCAGGUGCGAAAGCAGGUCUUAGUGAUCCUGUGAUGCGUAGUGGUACGCACACAGCUUAACGGAUAAAAGCUACCCCGGGGAUA
rnacentral:rRNA from 1 species